rnacentral:hammerhead_ribozyme from 1 species
AUCCAGCUGACGAGUCCAAACUAGGACGAAACGUACGUCCUGGAU